rnacentral:RNase_P_RNA from 1 species
GAGGCGACUCUAAGGAAAGUGCAACAGAAAACAACCGCCAUAGCAAUUAUGGUAAGGAUGAAAAGGUAGUGUAAGAGACUACCGCAGCUUUGGUGACAAAGCCGGUCAAUGCAAACCCCACUUGGUGCAAGAUAGUGAGAGAAUAAAAGGUUGUCCGCCUCUCUUCAAAAUCGCUUGAGUACAAUGGCAACAUUGUACCUAGAUAGAUAACCAUAAAAUACAGAAUUCGGCUUACAGACCAACCUUUUAC